ensembl:snRNA U4 U4 spliceosomal RNA
AGCUUUGUGCAGUGGCAGUAUCAUAGCCAAUAAGGUUUAACUGAGGCACAAUUAUUGCUAAUUGAAAACUGAGUUCAAAUCCAAC